GUUUAAACGUGUGUGAAUGUGUGUCAGUAUGUCUGUCAGUUAUGUGUCUGUGUGUGUCAAUAUGUCUGUCAGUGUAUGUGUGUGUCAGUAUGUCUGUCAGUUGUGUCUGUGUGUGUCAGUAUGUCUGUCAGUGUGUGUGUGUGUCAGUAUGUCUGUCUUUGUGUGUCAGUAUGUCUGACAGUGUAUGUUUCUGUGUGUGUCAGUAUGUCUGUCAGUGUGUGUGUAUGUGUGUCAGUAUGUCAGUCAGUUAUGUGUCUGUGUGUGUCAGUAUGUCUGUCAGUUAUGUGUCUGUGUGUCUGUAUGUCUUUCUGUAUGUCUGUCAGUAUGCCUGUCAGUGUCUGUGUCAGUCUAUGCGUGUGUCAGUAUCUCUGUCAGUGUGUGUGUCAGUAUGUCUGUUAGUUAUGUGUCGUGUUUGUCAGUGGAUGUUUCUGUGUGUGUCAGUAUGUGUCAAUGGAUGUUUCUGUAAACGUGUGUGAAUGUGUGUCAGUAUGUCUGUUAGUGUGUGUGUCAAUACAUGUGUCAGCAUGUCU